GAAGCAUAGUCUCUACAGUACUCCAACUCCAUUCCUUUUCCUUCAGUUUGGCGUCUCUUUGUAUAUCGUUCUUAGGCUUCUUCAUCUUGCUUUCUCUUUGAACAACUCCAUUUAAUGCACUUCUGAACCGGAUCUGUUCAUCUGUGAUAUGUGUGUAAUUAAAGUUAAUUUCUUUGAGAAAUGAAGGAGGGUUCGCAGUCUCAGACAAGGCCCCCGCGGGAAUCGGGGAUUGAUGAAAGAGUGGUUCAAGAAAGAGGAAAUGACAUGGUUUCUGAUUUGUGUGGUGAGGAUCAAAGACAGGCCUUGAAUUCAAAACCUCCAAAUGAGAUGAAGAAGCAGCUAUAUGUUUCGGUUUCAGGUACGUCUUGGAUGCACCUGCAUCGUUUGCAGUCAGCAUCCAAGCGGAAAAGGGAAGCACAUGCCGGUGCUUCUUAAAAAGAUGUUGAUGCUCUCGGUAGGGAUGAAGGAGAUUCAAAUGCUGCAUCGAGAGACCUCAAUUCCCAUCCCUAUUCCGAAGAGAUGCAACCAUAGUGGCAGUGAUAGAUUCAGAAAUUUUAGAUAGUGGAACAAUGUUUAUUU